AAAACAAUUUCAUGUGUGUUUUAAGUUACCUGUUGAGACUUGCCACAAAGCCCAUGACAGAUCUGCUUUUUUUGCUGGCAUCAUGGUGGACAUCAACUCCGAUCACCAUCAGAGAUUUCUGUCAAAAUGUAAUUGUAGUUGUACCACUUGAUAAUUCAACAGAACAACAUUCUUUUUUAAGGUUGUAUACAAGAUGCCCUUGAGUGCAGGCAGUAAUGUUAAUGCAAAUAUGCAUUAAAUUUAAAGCGUGUGUUUGUAAUGUAAUACAUACUACUGCUGUAUCAACUAUGAAACUGUAUCAGCAAAAUCUUAUCAGCAGAAGCCACUGUGUGCCUUAGGUCUGUAAUACUAACAAUGCUAUCUAAUCUAUUAGUAAAGAUUGAUAUAUUUUAGAUCCGAAACCACAUAUAGAAUUUUCAACCGAAAACAUUUGAUGGGCACUGAUAGCAAACACUCACCAGAGGAACACUGACUGUCCACAGCUCUCCUCCCAGUUUACAGUUAAUCUGCAGAAGGAUCUUUUGAGCGAUGCUGCGGAGCUUCUGAGGCUGGGAGAUGGUCCGCACGUUGAUGGCCUGGAAAAGGGAGAGACCGAUUUAGAUGUGACAUGAAUAUUUUAGAUAUUACUUGACCACACUGACAAAAUUACUGGAUUAUCUGUUUUGACGUAGGAAAUAAGUCAAUUGUUAAAUCCCUUCUCAUUUGCAAGCUAAAUUAUUGGCAAAGAAAUGAGACUCCAUAGGUUGAAACUGAAUGAAACCUGUGAUGGUACUGGACUCUGAAUACAGCAGAGCUUUUUGAUGGCGCUGUACAGGUCGUCUCUGUUCCCCGUCAUAAUGCACACAACCAGCUGCAUCCGAGGCUGAAAAAUAAGAGGGAACAAACACUGCUAGAUGAUAUCCAUAUUUAGAUUCCAAAAAACGGAUUAUCAUGUUACACGUCCUAAAAGACACGGCAUUGCUAUAAAACAAAGGAUUUAAUGAGAUGUCACUUCUAUCACGUCUAACGACAUUGACCGUUUCUCACUUCACUGGUGACUUGAGAGUGAAUGCUCUUGACGAAGGUUUCGGUCCGGUCAUCCCGUAGUUCAACACGGACGGGUCGCUCGAUUCUGAUGCCCAUGGGUCCGGCCACACGUGAGAAGGUGCUCACCAACUCCUCUGCCUGAUCCGCUGCCCGUCGAGGAUAGAAAAUAGCCCAGCAACUCAGAGGGACCUAACAGACAGAAAUCAUGGGACAUGAGCUCUAUCCAAUUAAAGAAUUAAAUCAGAGACCAUGUCUACAAUCUGAAAUCUCCGGCUUUUAACUCUUCUGAAAUCCACCUCCUCUCAUUGCCUGACGUCGUGGCAAAUGUAUACUCCCCCGCAAACUGAUGAAUCACAGUGAUUUCAGAUUGUGCUGACUCACGGUGCUGAUGGAGGGGUCUCGAACCACCUCUCUGGACCAGUCCACUGAUGAUGAUGUGACGAAGGAGGCCGAAUGCAGACAGAUGGUCUCGUGGGGCAAAGUUCUUCCUUGAGUCUGUGUCUAAACUCAUCUGACAGGUGUAACGCAGGUGUAGGUUCUCGUUUCUAUUCUCACCACCAGGAUCUCUGGACUGAUGCUGAGACCCCAUCGCCCCAGCUCAUGAAGAGCCUCAUCAUUGGUGUUGAUGUUCUGCAGCAGUUGUUUCAAACUCUGGGUGUGCUGCUCGGCUCCCACGUUGAUGUGCAUGGUCAGAUCCUAGAUGGAAAUGAAGAGAGAUAAAUGAAGAGAGAUCAGCAUGACAGAAGUGUUUGUAGGUUAACUUUAUAUUUUAUAAACUCUUCUAUCAUUCUUGUAGGUCAGUUGGUAAAGCAUUGUGUUAGCAGCACAGGUUAGGAACCUAGUAUGUAGGAACACACAAACUAAAAAAAUGUACUAAAACAGGUUACUAUGGACUUAAGCGUCUUAUAAAUGUUAAUAAAUGAAAAGCUCAGAUGCACAACCCUCUAAGUGCGUCUGAUGUUUUCUUGUAAGCAUUGUUUUUUUCAAACUCUUAAUGUAUUCUGCCAACAAAGCGGUAUUUCUAAAUGGCCUGAAGCCGGGAUAAAGCAAAUUUGAAAAUGUUUUAAUCAGUGUAUACCACUAGUCAACUAAAUGAAUAUAACAUGGCAAAGAUGA